CCUACGGGUGGCAGCAGUGAGGAAUAUUGGUCAAUGGCCGAGAGGCUGAACCAGCCAAGUCGCGUGAGGGAAGACGGCCCUACGGGUUGUAAACCUCUUUUGUCGGGGAGCAAAGCGAACCACGUGUGGCUCAUUGAGAGUACCCGAAGAAAAAGCAACGGCUAACGCCGUGCCAGCAGCCGCGGUAAUACGGAGGAUGCGAGCGUUAUCCGGAUUUAUUGGGUUAAAAGGGGGCGGAGGCGGAGGUGCAAGUCAGCGGUAAAAUUGCGGGGCUCAACCCCGUACUGCCGUUGAAACUGCAUCCCUUGAGUGCGCGAGAAGUAUGCGGAAUGCGUGGUGUAGCGGUGAAAUGCAUAGAUAUCACGCAGAACUCCGAUUGCGAAGGCAGCAUACCGGCGCGCAACUGACGCUCAUGCACGAAAGCGUGGGUAUCGAACAGGAUUAGAUACCCGGGUAGUC
rnacentral:rRNA from 1 species